UACGGGGGGGGCAAGCGUUGUUCGGAAUUACUGGGCGUAAAGGGCUCGUAGGCGGCCAACUAAGUCCGACGUGAAAUCCCCAGGCUUAACCUGGGAACUGCGUCGGAUACUGGAUGGCUUGAAUUCGGGAGAGGGAUGCAGAAUUCCAGGUGUAGCGGUGAAAUGCGUAGAUAUCUGGAGGAACACCGGUGGCGAAGGCGGCAUCCUGGACCGACACUGACGCUGAGGCGCGAAAGCUAGGGUAGCAAACGGG
rnacentral:rRNA from 1 species